AAAAGAAGUGAGUCUGUCUUAAUAGUCCCAACAACAGACCAUUGGCUAUCCAAAUCGUCAGUACACCAGAGAAUAGCUUUCAGGUGACCUGCGGACUUUCAACAUGAAAAAUUCAAUCCAGAGUCCUGGGUGGGGCUCACGAGUCUGCAUUUUUAACAACUCACCAAGUUAUUCUUAUGUGCCCUAGAAUUGGAAACCCAUGUAUCUCAAGAUUUUUUGCACAAACUGCAGCCUGUAGGAUAAGAGAGAAACUUAGAUCAGAGUAGAGGUUUUGCGACUCUAAGAACCAAAAUGAUUUCAGAUGCCUGGUCAUCCUCAACCUGGUGGACACGCCUUCAUUCACUGGAGAAGCAGCAGCAGGGCUUGCUUCGAGUCCAGGGAAGCAAGAAAACAGAUCUGAUCCCCCUGUGGAGUGUGGAGUAGGGGCACUGCCCUUGAUGGUGGGAGUGAAACCAACUUGUUUGCAGAUAAGAUUGCCGAGACAAUUCCAAUGGGGAAAAGAAGUCUUUCCAAACAUGCUGCUGGGACAACUGGAUCUCUACAUGCAAAAGAAUGAACUUGAACUACUAUUUCACACUAUAUUAAAACAAUUAUCAAUUAUUUUGUGACUGAAGGCAAUUAAGAAGCAGCAAAUGGAAAAAGCUCUCGCUGUCUUCCCCUUUUCUGCCUCAAGGUAGGAUAUAAAUUCUCGUUUACUGGACACAACUCUAGACUCUAUUCACCCAGAGAAAGCACCAGAAGAAUCUGCAAACAAACGUUACUUCAUUAGUUUACCCCCAUAUAGUUAUUUUCCCACUGUUUCCUACCCCGAAAGGAAAUUGCCUUCCUUUGUCCUGUCAUUUCUCUAUAAAUUUAUUGUUCUUUGUUGAAGAUGCGAUACAAGCCAGAGUUCUAAGCAACUGCUUUGAGUUACUUUUCAUUGAGGUUUUUCCUGCAUGGUGUUCACUGUAUGUGUUAAUAAACUUGUUUGUUUUUU
rnacentral:lncRNA from 1 species